UCCCAUUGAGGAUGGUCUUGGAGUUUGAUGUUGGCAGAGGGCGAAACAAUUACAAAUGGCGAGAUAAUGGCUAUGGAAGGGCAUGUCAGAUACUGAAUCCAGCCUUGAGGAUAAGGCUGUUUUUGAGCGGU
rnacentral:sRNA from 1 species